rnacentral:rRNA from 1 species
GACGAACGCUGGCGGCGUGCUUAACACAUGCAAGUCGAACGGAAAGGCCCUGCUUUUGUGGGGUGCUCGAGUGGCGAACGGGUGUGUAUCACGUGAGUAACCUGCCCUUGACUUUGGGAUAACUUCAGGAAACUGGGGCUAAUAUCGCAUAGGAGCUCCUGCUGCAUGGUGGGGGUUGGAAAGUGUCGGCGGUUGGGGCUGGACUCGCGGCUUAUCAGCUUGUUGGUGUGGUAGUGGUUUACCAAGGCUGUGACGGGUAGCCGGCCUGAGAGGGUGACCGGCCACAAUGGGACUGAGAUACGGCCCAGACUCCUACGGGAGGCAGCAGUGGGGAAUAUUGCACAAUGGGCGGAAGCCUGAUGCAGCAACGCCGCGUGCGGGAUGACGGCCUUCGGGGUGUAAACCGCUUUCGCCGGUGACGAAGCGUGAGUGACGGUAAUGGGUAAAGAAGCACCGGCUAACUACGUG